rnacentral:lncRNA from 1 species
GUUUGUGGAAUCUUGCGUCUUUAUUUUCCAACCUUUGUUUAUUUGUGUUGAUGCCCUUUGCCUUUUUCUUUCUGGAAUCAGAAGGUUUUGCAGGCCUGAAAAAGGGAAUCCGAGCCCGCAUUUUGGAAACUCUGGUCAUGCUGCUGCUGCUUGCGUUGCUGAUUCUUGGGAUAGUGUGGGUGGCUUCCGCCCUGAUUGACAGUGAUGCUGCCAGUAUGGAGUCUUUAUAUGAUCUCUGGGAAUUCUACCUGCCCUAUUUGUAUUCUUGCAUUUCACUGAUGGGAUGCUUGCUGCUUCUCUUGUGUACCCCAGUUGGCCUGUCCCGUAUGUUCACAGUGAUGGGCCAGUUGCUGGUGAAGCCUGCGAUUCUUGAAGACCUGGAUGAACAAAUUUAUAUGAUUACUCUAGAAGAAGAAGCGCUCCAGAGAAGACUGCACGGGCUGUCUUCAUCGGCGGAAUAUAAUGUAAUGGAAUUGGAGCAAGAACUUGAGAAUGUAAAGACCCUUAAGACAAAAUUAGAGAGGCGGAAAAAAGCUUCAGCAUGGGAGAGAAAUUUGGUGUAUCCUGCUGUUAUGGUUCUCCUCCUUAUUGAAACAUCCAUUUCAGUCCUCCUGGUGGCGUGUAAUAUUCUUUGCCUGCUGGUUGAUGAGACUGCAAUGCCAAAGGGAACAAGGGGCCCUGGCAUAGGAAGCGCCUCUCUCUCCACUUUUGGCUUUGUGGGAGCUGCACUUGAAAUCAUUCUGAUUUUCUAUCUCAUGGUAUCUUCUGUUGUUGGUUUCUAUAGCCUCAGAGUUUUUGGAAACUUUACACCCAAGAAGGAUGACACAACCAUGACAAAGAUCAUUGGGAAUUGUGUGUCAAUUUUAGUCUUGAGCUCUGCUUUGCCUGUGAUGUCAAGAACACUGGGGAUCACUAGAUUUGAUCUACUUGGAGACUUUGGAAGAUUUAAUUGGCUGGGAAAUUUCUAUAUUGUAUUAUCCUACAAUUUACUCUUUGCUAUUGUGACAACAUUGUGUUUGAUCAGAAAAUUCACAUCAGCUGUACGAGAAGAACUUUUCAAGGCCCUAGGACUUCAUAAACUUCACUUGUCUGAUACCUCAAGGGAUUCAGAAACUACAAAGCCUUCUGCAAACGGGCAUCAGAAAGCACUGUGAGACCUGACUGUCUCAGUAGCACUCUAUAGCAAGACCUGACAACUCCCUAUCCAUGACAUUCCCAUAGACACUGGUCACUCUGGUGGGCCUGGGCCAACCCGCCAGUGCCCCUUCUCAUAAGCACUGACAACUUGGCACUGCUUAUCUGUGUCUCCUUUGAGUUUCCUGAUUGACUUUAUAGCUUUUGGUUAAACCUGAGUCCUAGAGACUGAGGAAAAGCUGUGUGUCUACAGCAGGAGCCAUCAGGAUGCGAGGUGUAAUGUGCCAAGAGGCAGACUUGGACUUUUUAUGUUUUGAGAAGUUUGGUUCUGCAGGCAGAAGCCCGCCUGAAAGUCAUCUGGUACCCAAAGCAUCUCAGGUGGUCAGAAACUGCUGUACUAGUAACAAACUAACUACAUUUUUUAUUUCCUUAAAAAAAAAAACCAAAAGCAGAUUUUCUGAUUCAUGUUACAGAAUCUUCAUUAGACUUUGAGCCAGUGGAAAAUACUAGAUUCUUUUCACACUUGAGCCUUGGUGGGCAGCCCCAGGACUGUGUCUUUGUGGUAAGCUGCAGUCUGAAGCAUGUGAUUGUAGAUUUGAACAGUGUAUGUCUGUGUACCUGAUAAUACUUUUCCUAGCACAGUGCCAGUGUUGUACACAUGUGUAACUUAGACUUUGCCUUAUAGGCUGUAUGUACAUUCACUUUUUAAAACCCUUUUUCAAAAACGACUCCACUCUGUGCUUGUUGUGCCUGUGAAACCCAAAGAUAGAAAUUGCUGCUGCUUCUUCGUGUCCCUCAGGCUUUGGUGACUUUCAUAUACACCACCUUAAGUCUCCACCUCAGGAAGGUUACCAGUGUGAUACCUGGAACUUAAAGGUUGGGUUCUCCACGAAAGGGCAGGUGAAGUGUAAUAUGAGUCCUUAACUAUUCAGUUGUUUAGUUUAAUUGUUAACAGAGAUGGUUUUUCAACUCCUGAGUCUACUGAUUAAAAAGAAAUGAGCACAUGCUGCUGUUGUUUCUAGGUAGCACAUAUUUCACAGGAAUAUAGUGAUGCUCACAUGCAGUGUAUGGAUGACAGAACAGGCUUUGUGUUCAGAAAAAAAAGUAAAGCAUUUUUUUUCAAAUUGUUGAAUUUAGUUUCUUUUUGAGAAAUAUGUGAAAGGUUGUAUCUGACACUUUUUUCUACUUUGAAAAACAAGAAAAUUUAGCUAUGUUUAUAAGCCAUUGAUUCAAGGAAAGGUCAGAGCAGUUUUCUACUGCAGUCAUUUAUAGUGCACACCAUUUGCCAACACAACCAAACUGUACCUUACUCUGUAAGGUAAGGUGUCUGAAAAUUUCAUAAAAUACUGAACUUUUCAUUGUUUGUCGCUAACUUUCUUUUUUUUUUUUUUUAAAUCCUUUUUUUUUUUUUUGGUUCUUUUUUUCGGAGCCGGGGACCGAACCCAGGGCCUUGCGCUUCCUAGGUAAGCGCUCUACCACUGUGUUACUAACUUUCUUAGUGUGUGUGUGUAUGUGACGGGGAAGAGAGGGAAAGAGACAAAUGGGCAGACAGACAGGGGGUUGGUGGGAGACAUUAAUGAGUAAAGAUCUGAGGACAGCUUUCAGGAGUCAGUUCUUUCUUUUUACCAUGUGUGAUUCAGGCACCUUUAUCGGCUGUGCAAGUCCUAAACUUUGUAUUCAUUUGAAAGUUCGUAAUUUGAAGAUGAGAUCCAGGCUUAGGUGCUCAAGCUUGAGUCAGAUAGAUGAUGACUUUUAAAACACUGACUGGAGCUAUUGGUGGUGAGAUGGGAAAUGGGCUUUAAGGAUUCUCUCAGCUUGGAUCUCAGGCCCUCUGUGGUUGAUCUGCUGCAUGGUCACUCACCUCAGAGUUACCUGGAGGGAGGUACUGGGUCCAGGUGCUGUCCCUGCACUGGGCACGUGCUGGAGGCUGGUGAUAUGGAUCGUCAGUGGACAGCCGUGUGCACACAGUUGCACGCAGGGUCCUGCACUGCAGUGCUGUUUACAGAGUGCAGAAAGCUCUGCAGACGCAUGCUCCUGUCCACACUAGUCAUGGCGCUCUACUCUGACUAGACGAGGCUGCACCAGUGACUCCGUAAGGAGUCCUCUUGUUCUCUUGUCUUGAAUGUCCUCUUUAAAAGGGCAUGAUGCGCUUUUACUCAUGGUGGCAGCAGCAGUUGUUGUCACUUCUUUGGCCAGGCACAGUGGGUGAUCCUUACAGAGCAGCACAGAUUCCCAUUGAUUCCAGUCUAUGUAUUUACUUGUGGUUGGUACAGAAUUUAAUGCAGAUAGAGUCUUUAAAUAUGUGAAGAUAUGCAGCACUGAUUUUAAACUUAAACUGGCAUGAUACUUUCCAUAUGUCUAGACACACUGGUAAAUUUUUGUUACAUAUUGUUUUCAAAUUUUCCGUUAGUCUUGUUUCUAUGAGAUACUUUUAUUGUGACUUAAAAUUCUUAGAAAUUAAAGUUCUG